UUGUCUCAAAGAUUAAGCCAUGCAUGUCUCAGUACAAGCCAAAUUAAGGUGAAACCGCGAAAGGCUCAUUAAAUCAGUUAUGGUUCCUUAGAUCGUACCACAAUUACUUGGAUAACUGUGGUAAUUCUAGAGCUAAUACAUGCAAACAGAGUCCCGACCGGAGACGGAAGGGACGCUUUUAUUAGAUCAAAACCAAUCGGUGACGGGUUUCGGCUCGUCAUCGUACAACUUGGUGACUCUGAAUAACUUUAUGCUGAUCGCACGGUCUUGCACCGGCGACGCAUCUUUCAAAUGUCUGCCUUAUCAACUGUCGAUGGUAGGUUCUGCGCCUACCAUGGUUGUAACGGGUAACGGGGAAUCAGGGUUCGAUUCCGGAGAGGGAGCCUGAGAAACGGCUACCACAUCCAAGGAAGGCAGCAGGCGCGCAAAUUACCCACUCCCAGCACGGGGAGGUAGUGACGAAAAAUAACGAUACGGGACUCAUCCGAGGCCCCGUAAUCGGAAUGAGUACACUCUAAAUCCUUUAACGAGGAUCAAUUGGAGGGCAAGUCUGGUGCCAGCAGCCGCGGUAAUUCCAGCUCCAAUAGCGUAUAUUAAAGUUGUUGCGGUUAAAAAGCUCGUAGUCGAACUUGUGUCCCACGCCGCCGGUUCAUCGCUCGCGGUGUUAACUGGCGUGUCGAGGGACGUCCUGCCGGUGGGCUUAGCUCGCAAGGGCGGCCCAACUCAAUCCCGCCGCGGUGCUCUUCACUGAGUGUCGAGGUGGGCCGGCACGUUUACUUUGAACAAAUUAGAGUGCUUAAAGCAGGCUAAAAUUUUGCCUGAAUAUUCUGUGCAUGGAAUAAUGAAAUAGGACCUCGGUUCUAUUUUGUUGGUUUUCGGAACCCCGAGGUAAUGAUUAAUAGGAACUGAUGGGGGCAUUCGUAUUGCGACGUUAGAGGUGAAAUUCUUGGACCGUCGCAAGACGGACAGAAGCGAAAGCAUUUGCCAAAAAUGUUUUCAUUGAUCAAGAACGAAAGUUAGAGGUUCGAAGGCGAUCAGAUACCGCCCUAGUUCUAACCAUAAACGAUGCCAGCUAGCGAUCCGCCGACGUUCCUCCGAUGACUCGGCGGGCAGCUUCCGGGAAACCAAAGCUUUUGGGUUCCGGGGGAAGUAUGGUUGCAAAGCUGAAACUUAAAGGAAUUGACGGAAGGGCACCACCAGGAGUGGAGCCUGCGGCUUAAUUUGACUCAACACGGGAAACCUCACCAGGCCCGGACACCGGAAGGAUUGACAGAUUGAGAGCUCUUUCUUGAUUCGGUGGGUGGUGGUGCAUGGCCGU
rnacentral:rRNA from 1 species